UACGUAGGGUGCGAGCGUUGUCCGGAAUUAUUGGGCGUAAAGGGCUCGUAGGCGGUCUGUCGCGCGGGAGUGAAAACUCAGGGCUUAACCCUGAGCCUGCUUCCGAUACGGGCAGACUAGAGGUAUGCAGGGGAGAACGGAAUUCCUGGUGUAGCGGUGGAAUGCGCAGAUAUCAGGAGGAACACCGGUGGCGAAGGCGACAUCCUGGACCGGUAUUGACGCUGAGGCGCGAAAGCCAGGGGAGCAAACGGG
rnacentral:rRNA from 1 species